rnacentral:rRNA from 1 species
GAUGAACGCUAGCGGCAGGCUUAAUACAUGCAAGUCGAGGGGCAGCACGGUUAGCAAUAACUGGUGGCGACCGGCGCACGGGUGCGUAACACGUAUACAAUCUACCUUAAACAGGGGGAUAGCCUUUCGAAAGAGAGAUUAAUACCCCGUAAUAAAUUGAACGGCAUCGUUUGAUUUUGAAAGCUCCGGCGGUUUGAGAUGAGUAUGCGUCUGAUUAGCUAGUUGGUGAGGUAACGGCUCACCAAGGCGACGAUCAGUAGGGGAUCUGAGAGGACUAACCCCCACACUGGUACUGAGACACGGACCAGACUCCUACGGGAGGCAGCAGUAAGGAAUAUUGGUCAAUGGAGGCAACUCUGAACCAGCCAUGCCGCGUGCAGGAUGACGGCCCUAUGGUUGUAAACUGCUUUUAUACAAGAGAAAACCCUGGUACGUGUACCAGGUUGAUAGUAUUGUAAGAAUAAG